rnacentral:rRNA from 1 species
CGAGCGCAACCCUUGUCAUUAGUUGCUACGAAAGGGCAUUCUAAUGAGACUGCCGGUGACAAACCGGAGGAAGGUGGGGAUGACGUCAAGUCCUCAUGGCCCUUACGGGUUGGGCUACACACGUGCUACAAUGGACAAUACAAAGGGCAGCGAAACCGCGAGGUCAAGCAAAUCCCAUAAAGUUGUUCUCAGUUCGGAUUGUAGUCUGCAACUCGACUACAUGAAGCUGGAAUCGCUAGUAAUCGUAGAUCAGCAUGCUACGGUGAAUACGUUCCCGG